rnacentral:rRNA from 1 species
UACGUAGGUGGCAAGCGUUGUCCGGAUUUACUGGGCGUAAAGAGCGCGCAGGCGGUCGUCCAAGUCGCGUGUGAAAGCCCCCGGCUCAACUGGGGAGGGUCACGCGAUACUGGUCGACUCGAAGGCAGGAGAGGGUAGUGGAAUUCCCGGUGUAGUGGUGAAAUGCGUAGAUAUCGGGAGGAACACCAGUGGCGAAGGCGGCUUCCUGGCCUGUUCUUGACGCUGAGGCGCGAAAAGCUGAGGGGAGCAAACGGGG